rnacentral:tRNA from 1 species
GGGUUGCUAACUCAACGGUAGAGUAUUCGGCUUUUAA